UCUUUUUUCCCUCCUGACUGCUCCCGAAUGGCUUUAUAACCCCUGCAAGGCCUCCCAGCCCCCUUGAAGCUUCAUUCCCUCCCCAUAUACCGAGCACCGACGGCAUGUCCCAGCACCACGGAGGCUUCAGCCGUGCGGGGCCAGAGCAGUGUCUCCUCUUCCCGGGGAUAUGCGGCGCAUGGAUCGGGAUGAGGAUGUGGAUCCAUGAAUCUGCUCGGCUUGGUAGCUUAGAAAGUCACCACAGGAGCAUCAUUACUCUGGAAAAGUGCCUUUCUGCC